rnacentral:siRNA from 1 species
UACUGACGUGCAAAUCGUUCGUC